CUCAGUUAAAGCCUACAGAACUGAACAACAGACUGAGCUGAAGGAGGAGCAGAUGAAAUUCCAGCAGAGAAUCCAGGAGAAGCAGAAGAAGGUGCAGGAGCUGAAACAGGCUGUGAACAUUAUAAAGCUCAGUGCACAGACAGCAGUAGAUGACAGUGAGAAGAUCUUUACUGAGAUGAUCAGCUCCAUGGAGAAAAAGCGCUCGGAGGUGACGGAGCUGAUCAGAGAUCAGGAGAAGGCUGAACUGAGUCGAGCUGAACGACUCCUGGAGCAACUGGAGCAGGAGAUUUCUGAUCUUCAGAGAAGAAUCACUGAGCUGGAGCAGCUUUCACACACACACACACGAUCACAUCUAUUUCCUCCAGGAAAUAAAGGUACAUUACAUCCACAUUUCCAGGAGGAAUAUGAAGGUUACAGGUUUUAGCCUCCAGACAUCAGAGUCCCAAAACCGACAGACCAAAUGUUCCAGCUGAUGUGUGUGAAGAUUCACUCAGCAUCAAUGUCAAUAUCUCAUUUGAUGCAGUGAGGAAAUCUCUCUCUGACCUGAAAAAGAGACUUGAGGAAUUCUGCCAGGAGGAAUUGAUCAAAAUCCAUGAACAUGCUGAGAACAUUCAGAUUUUACUCUCAGAACCAGCAAGCAGGAACGAGUUUCUGAAAUAUUUCUGUGAUCUGACUCUGGAUCCCAACACAGUACAUUAUUACCUCAUUCUGUCUGAGAAGAACAAAGUGGUGACAUUCAGUGAGACAAAGCAGCCGUACUCUGAUCAUCCAGAGAGAUUUAACUCUGACUCUGCUGUCAGGUGUUGAGUAAAGAGAGUGUGUGUGGACGCUGUUACUGGGAGGUGGAGUGGAGCAGUGAUGGUUAUGUGUUCAUAUCAGUCUCAUAUAAAGAUAUCAGAAGGAAAGGACUGGGUAGUGAGUGUUGGUUUGGACACAACAAUCAGUCCUGGAGUCUGGAAUGUUCUUCUUCUUCUGUUAAUUUCUGGCACAACAACGUUAAAACUGAUCUCAAAGUUCCAUCAUCCUCCAGAAUAGGAGUGUAUGUGGAUCACAGUGCAGGAACUCUGUCCUUCUACAGCGUCUCUGAUACGAUGAAGCUCCUCCACAGACUCCACACCACAUUCACUCAGCCUCUAUACGCUGGAUUCUGGUUGUGUAAAACAGGAUCAUCUAUGAGGUUUUGCAGUCCAAAAGAAUAAUAGUUGGUGUUUUAUGGUCUGUAAUUUGGAGCUAAAAGAAACAUGUGCUAGGAAAUAAAUCAAAAAGUGAUUUGUUUGUAUCAUUGUAAAAAUCAGAUUUAAAAAUGAUAAUUAUGCUUUGGUAAAAUAUAUAAAUCUAUUUUACACCUUAAAAUGUCUAUGUACGUGGUGGUGUUUAAAAAAGGAUCGAGACGAA